CAGGGCGUCAUAGAGGGUGAGAGUCCCGUUUGUGGCCGGGAGUCUUCGUCGUGUGAGGCUCCUUCGACGAGUCGAGUUGUUUGGGAAUGCAGCUCUAAGCGGGAGGUAAAUUUCUUCUAAAGCUAAAUACCGGCCAGAGACCGAUAGCGCACAAGUAGAGUGAUCGAAAGAUGAAAAGCACUUUGAAAAGAGAGUUAAAAAGCACGUGAAAUUGUUGAAAGGGAAGCGCUUGCAGGCAGACUUGCUCACGGCGGUUUCGCCGGGUGUUCCACCCGGUUUACUCCACCGCGUUCAGGCCAGCAUCAGUUCGGGCGACCGGAAAAAGGCGAAGGGAAUGUAGCUCUUCUCGAGGAGUGUUAUAGCCCAUCGUGAAAUACGGCCAGCUCGGACUGAGGUCAGCGCUCCGCUAG
rnacentral:rRNA from 1 species